CGGACGGGUGAGUAAUGUCUGGGAAACUGCCUGAUGGAGGGGGAUAACUACUGGAAACGGUAGCUAAUACCGCAUAACGUCGCAAGACCAAAGAGGGGGACCUUCGGGCCUCUUGCCAUCGGAUGUGCCCAGAUGGGAUUAGCUAGUAAGUGGGGUAAAGGCUCACCUAGGCGACGAUCCCUAGCUGGUCUGAGAGGAUGACCAGCCACACUGGAACUGAGACACGGUCCAG
rnacentral:rRNA from 1 species